GCCAGCUACAAGGACUUCCUUCUUCUUCUGUCCCACCGCGUUGAGAACCACCUGAGCGACCUCUGCGGCUGUCUGUCCUUCGGCGGUGUUCUUGUCCAUAACUGCCAAAGGAAAGCCCAGUAAACACCAGUGCCAGCAGUCCUGUGUCCACGAUUGUGCCUCGGAAACUGAUGCCUGCGUUGUUGAUGAGGAUGUCCACGUGACCCAAGUACUUCAGGAUCUCUUCAGCAGCGUUUAGGACAGUUUUAGUAUCCGAGAGGUCAAACACCACAGUGUGAGGUUUGUGUGUCUGUGAAUAAACAAAAGUUGGCAAAAGA